CCCACAUCCCCCCAACCUUAAAUCACUACACAUACGCCGGCGAAACAUGUCACAAGGCCUAUCAACGCGCGCGUCGCGAACAAAAGUUAGUACAUGCGACAGUGGCGCCGCCGAGUAAAUGUCCACGCAUUAUCCACAACGUGCGAGCCGACAUUGACUCUGGGGUUCACCGCUGGCAUCCGUUGGUCACAGCACCACGUCUGCAGAUUCGAUGGCACGACUCCAGCCCAGGACUCCGGAAACGGCGACGCAGAAGUCGGCACGAGCAAGCGUCGCUCGCGCCCUGCUGACUAGAGCCGCAGUAGCCGUUGGUGACUGCCGGCUCUUUUCCCAGCCGCCGAGGUCGCUGCGCCGACAUUGACCACAGGCAUCUCCAAAGCCUGGGGUAGCUCGAUUGUAGUCCGGGGCAGCAGCGCUGACGAUGUGCAGGUGACAGCAAACCAGGAGUGACUCCGCUCACGCUGCGUACACUCAACGCACUCGACAAACACUAAAGUAGUGCAAGGGAGAGGAAUUCGGCAUACGCAUCGCCCACGUGGUACGAUGUUCAAUUCGGCUAGCAAAAUUUCGGGCGGCAUAGCAGAUGCUAAGUUCACGUGAACAAAGCUUACUUUCUUGAGUCGAACGAGAAUUUCAAUUCGUGCUAGGCGAACUAAUGAGGGAAGCAAUGUGCGACACCUCAACACCACGGUCCACCAGGUUGUGUCCCUCAACGUGCGACAGGCGGCUUUGUUAAGCCUUAGGCCUAAUGCGUCGCUACUUUGACAACAACCGGCAUCCAAAAAAAAAAAAACAA